rnacentral:rRNA from 1 species
GGGUCAGUAGGUUGGUCGUGCCACCGGUACGUACUGGUCUCACUGAUUCCUCCUUCCUGAAGAACCGUAAUGCCAUUAAUUUGGUGUUGCGGGGAAACAGGACUGUUACUUUGAAAAAAUUAGAGUGUUUAAAGCAAGCUAACGCUUGAAUACAUUAGCAUGGAAUAAUGAAAUAGGACGAUCGAUCCUAUUUUGUUGGUUUCUAGGAUUGACGCAAUGAUUAAUAGAUAGUUGGG